rnacentral:rRNA from 1 species
GACGAACGCUGGCGGCGUGCUUAACACAUGCAAGUCGAACGGAAAGGCCCUGCUUUUGUGGGGUGCUCGAGUGGCGAACGGGUGAGUAACACGUGAGUAACCUGCCAUUGACUUUGGGAUAACUUCAGGAAACUGGGGCUAAUACCGGAUAGGAGCUCCUGCUGCAUGGUGGGGGUUGGAAAGUUUCGGCGGUUGGGGAUGGACUCGCGGCUUAUCAGCUUGUUGGUGGGGUAGUGGCUUACCAAGGCUUUGACGGGUAGCCGGCCUGAGAGGGUGACCGGCCCCAUUGGGACUGAGAUACGGCCCAGACUCCUACGGGAGGCAGCAGUGGGGAAUAUUGCACAAUGGGCGGAAGCCUGAUGCAGCAACGCCGCGUGCGGGAUGACGGCCUUCGGGUUGUAAACCGCUUUCGCCUGUGACGAAGCGUGAGUGACGGUAAUGGGUAAAGAAGCACCGGCUAACUACGUG